CGGUAGGUCAGUAUGCCCCGAAUAUCCCGGGCUACACGCGAGCUACAAUGGUUGGUACAAUGGGGUAUCUACCCCGAAAGGGGACGGGAAAUCUCCUAAAACCAAUCUUAGUUCGGAUUGAGGGCUGCAACUCGCCCUCAUGAAGCUGGAAUCCGUAGUAAUCGCGUUUCAACAGAACGCGGUGAAUACGUCCCUGCUCCUU
rnacentral:rRNA from 1 species